AGACUUGUCUAAAUAUCUGAAAAUAAGCUGUAAAAAGGGAUUAAUGAUUACUAGUCUGAUUGUAUGUUAUUCUGUGUUAUCAUCAUUCAGUUUGGAUAUGAUCUUUAAUGUACUUUUUUGUUUUACAAAGUAGCUGAUAUUGCCAUAACGACAACAAGAAGCUAGUGGAUAGUGUGGGGAAGUCGCUUGUUCGCGAACGACACAUCACUUCUAGUCGACUCCCGAGUCACUCUCAUUCCAAAAUGGCGGAUUCAUAGGGCUGCUGCUGGGCGCUGGUGUUGCAAUGGAACGUUCUAUUGGCUUUCACUUCUUGUUAAUAUAAGUUCUUUGACAUGACACCAGCGUUUACUGCAUGUUCUUAUUCGGUCAGUUACAACUCAGGUGCAACUCAACUCUAGCACCACCAACAGGUUGGAAGCGGAAUUGUCCAUUACCACUGUCGUAAAUAAUUAUUCGCCUCCUCCGAAAUGAAACCCUUCCUUUUCUUUGAAGGCUCCGCCAUGAUGACAAUUGAAAAGCUGAAAUAACGCUAGGUAAUGGUGUCUUUCUUUCAUAUGUACCUGCCGAGUAUGCUCCACCCACAGCCUGCAGGAUUCUCCACUGUCGUAAAGCAAGUUUUUGUAGUUUUCACUCGAACUACAGGACCGCGACCCCGACGGUUGGUAACUUCUUUAGUGCGGUUUUGGCCAAUAAAGGGCUGCAAAGCGAAUGUGAAAGUGCCGUUCACCCUGUUUCGAGUGGAUGAAUGACCGGAACUUUUUUGGAAACGUUAUUUUAAGGUAAAAAAAACUCUUUGGUGUUGCUUUAACCCAAUCAGUGGGCUCGGUUUGCUUCACGAUAACUCCAAGAUCCUCCAUCCUUUUGAGUUCCAUUUUUACCCUUUCCUUUAGUGCUACCGGUAUGUUCCAUGGUGCAUGAAUGACUGGAGCAACAUCUGGGUUCAGCUGUACAUCGUGCAGUCCUGAUACACAUGCUAACCCAGAAAACACAUCUUUGUAUUCACUCAGACUUCAACUGACACAGAUGAGGACUGAAUCCGGAGUCCAUUCCCAAGCGAUCACAUUCAACAUAACAAGUAUUUUGUUAUAAUGUACACUUUUUUUCUGAAAUAAUUUUGUUCUUUGGUGGGCAAAUAAGUUUUGAAUUGAUGUAGUAGUCAUGUAGUAUGUAGUGCUCUUUCCUAUUUUGUUAUCAUGUGUAUUUGGAAUCUCCAGUUUAAAAAAAAGCUCACAGAAACUAAAUUUUUUGGAGUAAUGUUAUUAUUUUUAAAUUUAACGUUAUCACUUCUUUAUGUGCACACUAAUCUUAGCUUUAGGAUCAGAGCCUGAGUUGAUGAUCAGCUUCAUGGUACCAAAAAGUGAUCACAUUCAAAUGGCUGGGUGAUUUUUUUUUAAACCAUGUUGGGUAAAUAUUGGACAGAACACACCAAUGGAUUAAAAUUGACUCAAUGCUGGGUAUUAUAACCCAGUUAUUGCAUAACAACAACACAACAUUGGGUCAUUUUUAACCCAGCACGUUCUGUCCAAUAUUUACGUCCCAUUAUUGGUUAAAAAAAUAACUAGCCAUUUUUAGAGUGUUGGUUUGGUUUUGUCAACUCAUUUCUAAUCCUGUAACUUUGGAGAUUGUUUGACUGUCUUAUGCCCCAGGAACAGUAAAUAUACAAUAGACAUCCAUAACCCUGCUGAACAGACCUAAGCUGGGUGGCUGGUUUUAACUGGUGUAGCAGGCUGGAUUUAAAGGGGGUUUGGACACUUUUCUAGCUGGUCAGGGUGAAAGACCAGCUGACCCAUUAGCUUGACCAGUCAGUAAAACCAGAUGUAUGCAGCUUGGCCAGGCUUGAAGCACCGGCAUAAAUCAGCUAAGACCACUCAGACUGGUAAAGCUUUUUUUAAUUUGAACAGCUAAAGGUGGGCCCUAAAAACCUCUCUAAAAUCAGCUUGCUACACCAGCUAAAACCAAGGUGGGAGACCAGUUAAACUAGUCAACUAGGUUAGGUUGGUUUUAGCUGUUUUUCAGUAGGGAAUGUUCAUCCCUAUACUAAAGUUAUCAUCAUUGUGAUAUGUCUUUGAAUAAUCUCUUAUUAUCAUCACACAGGUCCACGUGCUCAUCUCCACUCAAACCCUUGCAGAGAAAUGAAACAGUGACUGCAUGUUUGAUCUACAGUCGCCACCUGGUGGUGAUAAAAAUGAAUAGCAUUAAAAGAAAGUAUGACUUCAACAUGUUUUUGGUGGUAUAUGGUUCUUUAUCUUAAAGGUAAAUAUAACAGUGAAUGAAGAUAAUCAUUAAACUUGUAGUUUAAUAAAGUUCAGAGUAUCAGUGAAGCAAGUUUCAGAGAUUUCUACCUAAAAUCUAUAAUGUAAAAAAUAUAAUCUUGAUAUAUUUAAUAAGAUACAAUUUUUUUAAUGAGGUCUAUCUCUAUUUACAGUUGUAUUAUGCCACAUUUAACCUCCAAAGACCUGGAUGUCACACAUGUGGACAUCAUUUUUUUGUUGUUGUUUGCACCAUAAUACUUAAUUCUGUGUAACUGGAACCUGUUAUACACAAACAUGGACAAAUACACUGCUUCAUGUUCAAAGAAAAAUAUUUGGCUAAUUAUAUGUAUUGGUUCCCCAAAAUAGCUGGUAGAAAUCUGGAAAAAAGACAAACCAAAGCUCGGGUCUUAGGAGGUUAACCUUUAGGCUUCAUGUUAUCUUACCAAAGAUAGGAGAUUGUUGCAUAAAAUUGGUUUUGGGGCAGGAAAAAUAAUUUUGGUAGUGGAAACAUUUUUUAAGAUCUUUUCCUCUCAUCUCAUACAGUAUUUUGUCUGUGGCGGUUCUUCAUCACUCAACAUGUCAAAUGUCCUUUAAUGUGUUUAGGAAUUAAUAUUAAGUAGUGUUUAGUGAAUUUAACCUGCCAGUAAACCCAGCAAUAUGUAACUCUGCUGAUGCUUUAACUGCUGUAAGGGAUGAGAGUUUAUAUCUAACUUUGUCUGUUUUUGACUGACUGCCAGUGUUUAACAUUUUGAUAUGUGUAAAGGAUUUUGAGCAAUCAAAAAAAAUCAUUUUUGUAUCAUGCAGUAAAAUAUAUAAUGCCUUUUGAUGAUUUAAAUAAAAUCUCCAUACAAUCUGAGCAUGUCUGUGUUUUACUCUUGACUAAUACUCUUAGGGGCGGUUUCCCGGAGAGGGAUUAGACUAGUCCUAGACUAAAACAUUUUUAUGAGCUGUCCAAACUGAAAACAACUUGCACUGACAUAUCCUAAAAUACACCAGGGCCCUUUGUUUUGCCUAAAAAUGCACACAGGUAAUGUUUUUAGUAUGGCAUAUUUGUUAAAACUAGUUAUAUUUCCUAAUUAAACUAAGGCCUAGUCCUGGAUUAAGCUAAUCCCUGUCCG